UCCCUGGUGGCCUAGUGAUUAAGGACUCAGCAUUGUCACUGCUGUGGCUCAGGUUCAACCCCUGACCUGAGAA
rnacentral:tRNA from 1 species